rnacentral:rRNA from 1 species
CGGACGGGUGAGUAACGCGUGGAAAACCUGCCCCGUACCGGGGGAUAACACCUGGAAACAGGUGCUAAUACCGCAUAACGCAUAGGUAUCGCAUGGUACAGAUGCCAAAGAUUUAUCGCUGAGAGAUGGCCUCGCGUCUGAUUAGCUAGUUGGUAGGGUAACGGCCUACCAAGGCGACGAUCAGUAGCCGGACUGAGAGGUUGGCCGGCCACAUUGGGACUGAGAUACGGCCCAGACUCCUACGGGAGGCAGCAG